rnacentral:rRNA from 18 species
CAAAAUAGAUCCGUAACUUCGGGAUAAGGAUUGGCUCUAAGGGUUGGGUGCAUCGGGCCUUGGCUGGAAGAAUUUGGACCUGGCUGGAACUGAUCUGGGCAACUGGGUUGGAUCUGGCCGGGACUGAGUUUGGAAGGCUUAGGCUGCCUUCGGGCGUCUGGUGUACAAUUAACAACCAACUUAGAACUGGUACGGACAAGGGGAAU